GUUCUCUCCAGCUCUUCUUCACUCACAUCUCCAAAUGGUGCCCAAAGUGGGAUAAUCCCCUUUCUGGUUCUCCACCCAUUCCUCUCAAGUUUUUAAGAACAUGCUGGGAUGUUGCAAGUUUAAUGCUGUCAUUGUCCCGGGCAAGGUGGAUAGGCUCUGGGCUGCCUUAAUGCCAUGGUAUGCAGUAUUUAACUCUGAUCAGCUCAUUUCACAAUUCAUUUCACAGCCACAUCCACAAACAGAUCAUACAUGGGAGAAGCAAAUAGCAUGCAAGUCUCAAACAUUUUUUGCUUAUCCAAGUAUUUAUCCUAUUUAAGCCUCAGUAACUGCCAGGAGUCCCAAGUGAUAUUACAGUCUUAUGCCAAAACCCAGUAAAGCACAGCCCCUCUCUGAGAUAUCUGCUAUCUAAACAGGAAGGACAGAAAAGCUGCGUCCAUUUCACAAAUCAGAGGAAGAUGUGAUCUGACCAAGGUCACCAAGUAGUGCUGUGACCAAGUCACGAACGGAACCAAGACCUGAUACAUUUCAGGAGUAAAAAUCCCAGCCCAACACCACCACAGGUCUCAUCACAGGAAGUUUGGAGUACACUGGACUUGUGUGUGACUGAUUGUCUGCCCACAGGUACACUGUGCUCAAAAGGCACCAUACACUAAAUCCUCAAAGUGGUAUCUUGACUCCAGUUGGAUAAUACCUCAGAUUUAUUUCCAGGACAAAUUUCAUAGUUUAUACAGUGUUUGCAAGAUACACUGGACUUUAUUAUAAUAUGAUUGUUUCUGGCUGUCCUCUGUAACAAGCUGCUGUACCAUUCUAUAACUUUGCUGCUGAUUUAUGUCCAAAGGAAAAGCACAAAGGAGAAAAAGCAACAACACAGCAACCAGCCAGUAAGAAAGAAUCUCUUUCUACAGACUCAUAAGGACACAGCUUCCUUUCUUGACCUGUGCUUUGUUUCCAGGAGCCUGAAAGUCUCAUUUAAACAAGCAAGGAAUGACAAGGNNNNNNNNNNNNNNNNNNNNNNNNNNNNNNNNNNNNNNNNNNNNNNNNNNACAGAACCUCAGCCCUUGCAUCCGCUUCGCUUUGCGACUCCCAAACACACCGUCCGUAGCGGGGGGUUGAGGCUUGGCUCCUCUCCCUCCCUCCCGCCCGGCCUGGCUCCGGAGCCGGUAGUACCGCGGAGCGGCCGAGGCGGGGGGAAGGAGCCAGGGCAGGGCCCGGUGUGCCGGAGGAGCGGAUCACGCUAUGCUCAGCCUGCAGAAUGCUUGCUGAGAAGAUUCAUUACCUGGACAACAGCCAGAACCCAGCAGUGGUCAUGCUAA
rnacentral:lncRNA from 14 species